rnacentral:rRNA from 1 species
UACGUAGGGGGCAAGCGUUGUCCGGAAUCAUUGGGCGUAAAGAGCGUGUAGGCGGCUUGGUAAGUCCGCUGUGAAAGUCCAGGGCUCAACCCUGGAAUGCCGGUGGAAACUGUCAAGCUUGAGUCCGGAAGAGGCGAGUGGAAUUCCUGGUGUAGCGGUGAAAUGCGCAGAUAUCAGGAGGAACACCGGUGGCGAAGGCGGGUCUCUGGGCCGAUAUUGACGCUGAGGAGCGAAAGCGUGGGGAGCAAACAGG